GCACCAGUGGUCUAGUGGUUAAGAUCUCCGCCUCCCACGCGGAGGACCCGGAUUCGAAUUCCGGCUGGUGUA